AUCCUGGGUAUGUUGAUUGGCAUAAGAUUUUCAGGUUUAAAGUCAACCGAGCCAGGUUUCAUACUGACAGGCCAAUGGAUUAGGUACAGGUCAACAUAUUCCAGCUGCAAGUCUUGAAGAGUUUUGUCUAGUGCGACUGGUACAUCUUCAGGUGCAUGAUUAGUGUUCCAGAGUUUGGAUGUAAUGAAUAGAUCUCGCCUCUUGACAACACCAUCUUUAAACAGCCUGCUCAAUACUUCACCAAUCUCCUUCUCAUUUUUAUAAAUUUGAGCACAAUCAAUAUGCCGGUAGCCCAUCUUGAUAGCAGUCUCCACGGCUUUGCCGACGACACCAGGGUCGGACUGCCACGUUCCCAAACCGACCGCCGGAAUGCUGAAACCGGUAUUCAACUCAAUGUACGGCAUCUCCGUCGCCUCCGCCAUUGAUACAAAAAAAGAGGAGGGAAAUUGAAAAAAACGAGAGUGAAUCGUAUACAGCCAAAGAGAGAAAAAGUGAUAUAUGAGUAGAG
rnacentral:misc_RNA from 1 species